CCUACGGGUGGCAGCAGUGGGGAAUAUUGCACAAUGGGCGAAAGCCUGAUGCAGCAACGCCGCGUGAAGGAAGAAGGGUUUCGGCUCGUAAACUUCUAUCAACAGGGACGAAAGAAAUGACGGUACCCACAGAGGAAGCACCGGCUAACUCCGUGCCAGCAGCCGCGGUAAUACGGAGGGUGCAAGCGUUGUCCGGAAUCAUUGGGCGUAAAGAGUUCGUAGGCGGCAUGUAAAGUCAGGUGUUAAAGGCGCAGGCUCAACCUGUGUAUGGCACUUGAUACUUGCAAGCUGGAAUGCGGUAGAGGUAAAGGGAAUUCCUGGUGUAGCGGUGAAAUGCUUAGAUAUCAGGAGGAACAUCGGUGGCGUAAGCGCUUUACUGGGCCGUAAUUGACGCUGAGGAACGAAAGCCAGGGUAGCAAAUGGGAUUAGAUACCCUUGUAGUC
rnacentral:rRNA from 1 species